rnacentral:siRNA from 1 species
UAUUCAAAUUAGGUGAAACAU